GGCCCAGUGGUGGAUUGUCCGCACCCGCUUUGCUUAUUUUAAUGUAACGUAUUGGCGGGAGUCGCUCGUUCGAAUCGAGCCUGGGCCG